rnacentral:rRNA from 1 species
CCUACGGGUGGCAGCAGUAGGGAAUAUUGCUCAACGGGGGAAACCCUGAAGCAGCAACGCCGCGUGGAGGAUGAAGGUUUUCGGAUUGUAAACUCCUUUUGUUAGAGAAGAUAAUGACGGUAUCUAACGAAUAAGCACCGGCUAACUCCGUGCCAGCAGCCGCGGUAAUACGGAGGGUGCAAGCGUUACUCGGAAUCACUGGGCGUAAAGAGCGCGUAGGCGGGAUAGCAAGUCAGAUGUGAAAUCCUAUGGCUUAACCAUAGAACUGCAUUUGAAACUGUUAUUCUAGAGUAUGGGAGAGGUAGGUGGAAUGCUUGGUGUAGGGGUAAAAUCCGUAGAGAUCAAGAGGAAUACUCAUUGCGAAGGCGACCUGCUGGAACAUUACUGACGCUGAUGCACGAAAGCGUGGGGAGCAAACAGGAUUAGAUACCCGGGUAGUC